GUGCUCACUUCAGCGUAUAUACUAAAAUUGGAAUGAUACUGAGAAAAUUAGUGUGGCCCCUGUGCAAGAAUGACACACAAACUCAUGAAGCAUUCCAUAUUUUA